rnacentral:rRNA from 1 species
UCCUACGGGGGGCAGCAGUAGGGAAUCUUCCACAAUGGACGAAAGUCUGAUGGAGCAACGCCGCGUGAGUGAAGAAGUAUUUCGGUAUGUAAAGCUCUAUCAGCAGGAACGAGACAAGACGGUACCUGACUAAGAAGCCCCGGCUAACUACGUGCCAGCAGCCGCGGUAAUACGUAGGGGGCAAGCGUUAUCCGGAAUCACUGGGUGUAAAGGGAGCGUAGACGGCUGAGCAAGCCUGAAGUGAAAGGCGGGGGCCCAACCCCCGGACUGCUUUGGGAACUGUACGGCUGGAGUGCAGGAGAGGG